rnacentral:rRNA from 1 species
UAGGGAAUCUUCCGCAAUGGGCGAAAGCCUGACGGAGCAACGCCGCGUGAGUGAUGAAGGUCUUCGGAUCGUAAAACUCUGUUAUUAGGGAAGAACAAAUGUGUAAGUAACUAUGCACGUCUUGACGGUACCUAAUCAGAAAGCCACGGCUAACUACGUGCCAGCAGCCGCGGUAAUACGUAGGUGGCAAGCGUUAUCCGGAAUUAUUGGGCGUAAAGCGCGCGUAGGCGGUUUUUUAAGUCUGAUGAGAAAGCCCACGGCUCAACCGUGGAGGGUCAUUGGAAACUGGAAAACUUGAGUGCAGAAGAGGAAAGUGGAAUUCCAUGUGUAGCGGUGAAAUGCGCAGAGAUAUGGAGGAACACCAGUGGCGAAGGCGACUUUCGGGUCUGUAACUGACGCUGAUGUGCGAAAGCGGGGGGAUCAAACAGG